AGGACGAACGCUGGCGGCGUGCUUAACACAUGCAAGUCGAGCGGAAAGGCCCUUCGGGGUACUCGAGCGGCGAACGGGUGAGUAACACGUGAGCAACCUGCCCCUGGCUCUGGGAUAGCCUCCGGAAACGGGGAUUAAUACCGGACAUGACCUGCUGCCGCAUGGUGGCGGGUGGAAAGUUUUUCGGCCAGGGUGGGGCUCGCGGCCUAUCAGCUUGUUGGGGGGGUGACGGCCCACCAAGGCGACGACGGGUAGCCGGCCUGAGAGGGCGACCGGCCACACUGGGACUGAGACACGGCCCAGACUCCUACGGGAGGCAGCAGUGGGGAAUAUUGCGCAAUGGGCGGAAGCCUGACGCAGCGACGCCGCGUGCGGGAUGAAGGCCUUCGGGUUGUAAACCGCUUUCACCAGGGGCAAGCGAGAGUGACGGUACCUGGGGAAGAAGCGCCGGCUAACGUACGCGCCAGCAGCCGC
rnacentral:rRNA from 1 species